GAGCACUCCGUCGGUUCCUCCUCUUUCCUUAGAUUUCUGUUGUAGCAAUUACUCAACGGCGAUAGAGGUGAUUGACAUAAAACCGCCGGUGCCGGCACCGGAGAUAGUGAUGAUGAUGCAUAGAAGGACGACAGAUUUACCGGCGAUUGUAUAGAUGAUGGUUUACAGAAAAAUGGUGAAUUAAUUACUUUUGAUUUUUGUUGUGAUGGUGAAAAUAUUUGAGAAUUUGUUAUUGCUAUGGCACAAGGCAUUUUUGUUCUUUGUUCUAUUUUUG
rnacentral:misc_RNA from 1 species